AAUAUUUCCACCCAGCCAAUUCUAAUGUGGAUUAAAGUAGAAACAAAAUACUUUAUACGGAACGAAAUGAAACAAUUCAAUGGAUAAGUACGAACGUGGAACUAAAUAAGGAUUUUAAGGAUGAUGAAUGACGAUCGAAUGUAGGGUGUUUACAUACAGUUUCGAAGUUUAUAGGUAGGGAGUGAAGUGAAAGCUGAGAAAAGAAGCCAAGAUGAUAAUGAAUUGUGCAGCAAUGGUUGUCGUAGGUUACAGGCCUGUCCUAAGCCCCAAAUGCUUUGCUUCAAAUCCCAAAAUCAACACAGAGCAGCUUCGUUACCAGCUUGACCAACUUCAUGCUGAAGCUGAGAGCACCCGAGCCAAAGCUAACAAUGCUAGAUUGAGGUUUUUGCGGCUAUCAGAGGCAGCAGAGAAGCUUCGACGACAGGCAGCUGUUAGUAUUCAGGGGGGGAAGGAAAAUGAGGCAAGGGACCUGCUUUUUCAGAAAAAGAAGGUUAUGCAAGCUUUGGAAAAGUCUAAGAGUCGGAUUGAGUUAUUGGAUAAGCUUGCUACGAAGCUUAAUGAGGUGAUAAACGUCAAAGAAACUCAACUAAUUGGGAAUAUUGUGUCAGAUUCUGAAAUUGGUGAAGAAGAUGGUUCCAGUCCAGUUCGGAUCAUAUCUCCGAAGGAGCAAGCUGAAAACAAUAAAAAUAAGAAUAAGGACUUUGGCCUUGAUGCUUUAACAGUUGGUGAAGAUCAAAAGUUGUUGCUUGAUACUGAUGAUUUGGUGGAGCAACCUGCCCACAAGGAGCUAGAGGAACAUAAAGCAUUAGCUUUUAAUGAAGACAAUAGAACUAGCAGCUUGGCAGCAAUAUCGACUUAUGAGGACUUCUUGGAACAUUUGGAUCAACAGCUCAAACAAAUUGAACAAGAACUUCUCACGAUAUUAAAUGUUUCAACACUAUUACUUGAUGAUGAGAAACCAAAAAAUGUGAAGGUGCAGCAAACGACAGGAAUUCUUGAGAGUAUACUUGAUUUAAGACAGAGAAUUACAAAUAUCAGGCAGAUGAAGGUUGAGAUAAGUUAAGGCUUCAUUGUUUCUUGGUCAGGUUCCUACUACCAGUUAUUGCUGACUGCAAAAGAAGCUAUUGAGUUUAUAACCUUGUCUGGGGAAUGGGAAGCAGCAAAGCUAGGAGUUCCUUUUAAGUUACUAGAGAAAAACAGAGGCUAUCAGCAUGAAGUUGCUUAAAACUGCAACACAUUGAGAGAAAUUGUCACUGGCUACUCUUCAUUAUAUGGAUUACCAGUAUUAUCAUGACAAAAUAAAAAUUGGGAUAAGUAGAAAAAAAUGUCGGUGAGUUCUGGCUUUCUGCUGCUUUCAUCUUUCUGAUUUUUAGAAUGCAUGUUGGGUUUAUAUUUUCGAUGCUCUGCAUAUGGAUUUUGUUACCUGUAGCAUGUGCAAGAAAGCAUUUUUUUUUUAGUAAAAUCAUUACUUCAAUAACAUAUAAUAACUGAAUGAACUCUUAAAUUAUAUAGCAUAAGUCCAUUGCAUUGUUGCAUUUAUAAUCAAAUUUACCUACUCUGUGAAUUUUUCUUCACAUAUAUUUUAUACUCUCUAGUACCGAUUGAUGGUAGACGUCUUUGUGAAUUAGCAAAGGGUAACAAAUGAAAUAGAAGUAAAUGUGUUGAAAUUAGAUAUUUGAGAGAUGAAUUUUAUAGGGAUUUGAAUAAUUUCACUCAUACUAAAAAAUGGUAACAUAGGUAUUUAUACAAAGAGCAAAAAACUAAGGCAAGAAAUAGUAUAUAAUCCUAAUAUCAAGUAUAUCUAAUCCCUAAUUUACAGUGAUAGGAAGAAUCUCUUGGCUGUCAACACUCUCAAGUUGGUGCAUAGAUACCACACAUGCCCAACAUGCAAAUUAGAUUAUGAAAGGUUCUAUUACUUAAUACUUUAGUGAAUACAUCAACUAACUGCUCGUCGAACGCCAAAUGAACUAAGUUUAAGAGACUGGAGUUCAAUUUUUCUCUGAUGAAGUGCCGAUCUAUCUCAAUAUGUUUUGUUCGAUCAUGUUGGAUUGGGUUAUGAUCUAUGCUUAUUGCAGCCUUAUUAUCACAGUACAGGGAUAAUUUUCCUUCUUGACAGUUUCAGCUCCUCCAAUACCUUCUGUAGCCAAAUAAGCUCACAAACACCUUGAGCCAUAGCCCUAUAUUUUGCCUCGGCUACGCGUUGCUUAUUCUUGUGGUUCUGCUUUUGUACUGUAUGAAGAGAUUUGUAACCAAGCAAAUCUCCAUACGAAAAUCAAGUCAAGAAAUGGUUACUGCCUUUUUUUCCUUUAGAAUAUAGAAGCAUCAUUGUUAGUCACAAUCAAUGAGGUUACCAACUGUAAUUUUGCAUCAAAUUGUUUGUUGAUUACAUGAUGUCUUUCAUUUCUUCUUGAGCUUGUAAAUUACAAAGUUAGGUUUACUAUAGCCAUUGCGGAAUUAACAUGAUUUGACUAACAUUGAAUAAACAACAGAAAAUUGGUGUAAAUAUAGAA